rnacentral:rRNA from 1 species
UACGGGGGGGGCUAGCGUUGUUCGGAAUUACUGGGCGUAAAGGGCGCGUAGGCGGUCUGCUAAGUUGGAUGUGAAAACUCUGGGCUUAACCCAGAGCCUGCAUUCAAAACUGACAGGCUAGAGUUCUGGAGGGGAUAGCGGAAUUCCUGGUGUAGCGGUGAAAUGCGUAGAUAUCUGGAGGAAUACCGGUGGCGAAGGCGGCAUCCUGGACCGGCAUUGACGCUGAUGCACGAAAGCGUGGGGAGCAAACAGG